rnacentral:lncRNA from 1 species
CACGUCACAGUUAACGGGAGAUUUAACAGUUUGACUAACGGAUGUAUGAGACUGUCCCAAAAUUUACACUUUAGGUACGACUCUGAGACGAAAAAAACUUGAUGUACUAAAUGUUGAAAACCACAAAACAUGAGAGUAGUAAACAGUCUUUUGCCCAUUUUUUUUUGUUAAUAAUAAGAACAAAAACAAGAGGCCAUGACAAUAUUGUAAAUAAGUUAAAAGUGAUAGAACUAUUAUAAAUAAGUUGAACUUUGGUUGCAAUAUUGUGAAAGAGUUAAAGUUUGGAGGAUGUGGUAGUAUCGUAAAAGAGUUGAAGUUUAGACAGUAUCGUAAAUAAGUUUCACGUUUGUGCCCAUCUAUUUCUUCAUAAUCAAUUGUUUCAUAAGAACAAUUAGUAGCGUCUUGAGAAAUAGUUAUCGAUGCAACCAAAUUUUAAUUUAAUUACGAUAAUGCCAGAUUCUUUUGUGCAUUAUUUAAGCUAGAAGUCAAUGUGGGUAGCAAGUCCUAGCAGAUAAGGAUGGGGACGGUGCGGUUUGGUGUGGUUUAAUCCUCAAACUGGAACCGAAACCGAGAAAUAUCAACGGUUUCGUUUGGUGCAGUUCCGCUUAAAUUUAUUAAUAGAAUCGUAUGAUUCAGUUUACAUCAGUUCCGAUUCGGUUCUUGCCAUUUUAAGGUUCUGAAUACUAAAUCAUUUGAAUGCCAAAUCAAAUUGGUAUUCAAAGUUUAUUUGUUUUUUUUCUUUCUUGUUUUGCAUGCUUGCAUUUAAAUACGUUUUAUAAAAUACGGUUUACAGUUUAAUAAAUUGAAACAUGCUAUUGUUUUGUAGCAAAUAUCUUAAAAAUAUGUAGUCCUUUGGUGUGAUGCUGUUUGGGCCCAAA